UGUUGGUUUAAUUCGAUGCAACGCGAAGAACCUUACCUGGUCUUGACAUCCCGGAGACCCUUAGGAAACGUAGGGGGUGCUUCCAUCUGGAAGAAUCUGGAGACAGGUGCUGCAUGGCUGUCGUCAGCUCGUGUCGUGAGAUGUUGGGUUAAGUCCCGCAACGAGCGCAACCCUUGCCUUUAGUUGCCAGCAGUUCGGCUGGGCACUCUAAAGGGACUGCCGGUGUUAAACCGGAGGAAGGUGGGGAUGACGUCAAGUCCUCAUGGCCUUUAUGACCAGGGCUACACACGUACUACAAUGGCCGAUACAAAGGGCAGCGACACUGCGAGGUGAAGCCAAUCCCGUAAAAUCGGUCUCAGUCCGGAUUGGAGUCUGCAACUCGACUCCAUGAAGUUGGAAUCGCUAGUAAUCGUGGAUCAGCAUGCCACGGUGAAUACGUUCCCAGGCCUU
rnacentral:rRNA from 1 species